GGCGGUAUGGUGGAAUUGGUAGACACGCUUGAUUCAAAAUCCCCCGCCGAAAGGCGUGGCGGUUCGAGUCCGCCCGCAGCUACCA
rnacentral:tRNA from 1 species